GUCAACUGAGUUGCUUGAGGACAAGCAAGGUUUUAAGCUUGGGGGAGUUUGAUACGUCUCCAUCGUAUAUACUUUUCCAAACUCUUUUGCCAUUGUUUUGGACUCUAAUUUGCAUGAUUUGAAUGGAACUAACCUGGACUGACGUUGUUUUCAGCAGAAUUGCCAUGGUGUUGUUUUUGUGCAGAAAUGAAAGUUCUCGGAACGUCCUGACAAUUUACGGAGAAUUUUUCUGGAAAAUAUGAAAAAUAC
rnacentral:lncRNA from 1 species